rnacentral:snoRNA from 1 species
GACCUCCUGGUGCUUACCACAGGCUCUGUUCUUACAGACUGUAUAGGAAAAGGAGGUGAAGUAAACCUCUCCCACAUAUGCCUCAGCCCAGGCUCUGUGCCUGGUCUGUAUUGUGAAUGAGGAGACAUGG